rnacentral:lncRNA from 1 species
AAAUAAAGAAAAAAAAAACUAACACUUCUCCUAUCCAUUCUGCUAAACCAAAAUCCCUCAUUCGAACGCCCUUACGUUUCUCUUCUCGACGGAUGGUGUCAUAUAAUGGCCAAUCAAGGCCUUAUUCAACCAUAGGUCUGCGAGUUUCGCUCACCAACCUUAAAAUCGUCACCUAGCUUCGAUUGCAACGAAUCAAGUGAGGAUUCGAAAGAGCCAACUCUCUGGUAAAUCCCUUUCUCUUUACUUAUUUUUGUUUUUGUACACAGUAACAAGGAUUUGUGAAAUAGGAGCAGAAUCGAAAAGGAAAAAUAAUCUAAAUCACCUUAGUUUUUGAUUGCUUUUCUUUGUAUCUAGUAUUUCGUAAAAAAAAAAAUCAGUGUCUACAAUGGCUUUUUAUAGCCAAAAUACAUCAAGAAUAUUCAAGAAAAAUAAAUAAAAAAUCUUUAUUUUUUUGCUGUAUUGUUGUUAUCUGCAGUUAUUUGUGUGCUGGCAAUCUGUUUUGCAAGUAUGCACGGCAUAGAGAAACCGUUCGUGGUGACGUGUCGAGGCUUGGGACUCAGUGGGGCUGGAGACCCUCGCUGAGGAGGCUGCAAUAUUGGUCCUAGGGUCUUAGUCCCUAAAAUCGAAAAUUGGGCCAUAUGGGUCGGGUUUCAAUUGGGUUAAAUUUUUGGGCUGUGAUAGUUUUCUUGUAAAUAGGAUAUGUAAUUAAGUUUAUUGGGUCUGUUAGGCCAUAAGUGUAAUUUGUAAAUGGUCUGGACACUUAUUAUUGGAUUUUAUUUUGUUUUUUCAUUUUGGUUUUGGUAUGGGCUCGGGCGAAAUGGGCUUAUUACAGCUACCCCUCUUUGCUUAUUGUCGUGUAACGAGAAUAUAGCAAAGACUUCAAAUAGGGCCAAUUUUGCCCGGUUUUGCUAAAUCUUGACUGUAACUUUAGGGAAAUAGGACUGGUGUCUUAAAUCUGCUUCAUUGCCGAUACAUGGAGAUAAGAUUCGCCAUCCUUAAUCUACUCCACUUCUUUUGGGAAAUAAGAUCUUCAAUCUUUAGUAUGCUUCCUUACUACCUCAGGAAGAUAAGACUACAAUCGCCAACCUGCUCUCUUGCUACCCCAGAGAGAUAAGGCUGGUGGCUAAAAUCUGCUCUAUUGCCAGUACAUGGAGAUAAGAUUUUCCAUCUUCGAUCUGCUCCACUACUGCUUUGGGAGAUAAGAUCUUCAAUUUUCAGUCUGCUUCCUUGCUACCUCAGGAAGAUAAGACUACAAUCGUCAACCUGCUCUCUUGCUACCUCAGAGAGAUAAGGCUAGUAGCUUAAAUCUGCUCCAUUGCCGAUACAUGGAGAUAAGAUUCACCAUCUUCGAUUUGUUCUACUACUGCUUAGGGAGAUAAGAUCUUCAAUCUUCAAUCUGCUUCCUUGCUACCUCAGGAAGAUAAGACUACAAUCGUCAACCUGCUCUCUUACUACCUCAGAGAGAUAAGACUAGUGGCUUAAAUCUGCUCCAUUGCCGAUACAUGGAGAUAAGAUUCACUAUCUUCGAUCUGCUCCACUACUGCUUAGGGAGAUAAGAUCUUCAAUCAUUAGUUUGCUUCCUUACUACCUCAGGAAGAUAAGACUUGUAUAUUGAGCCUGCUCUACUGUAACUUCAGGGAGAUAAGGCUAGUGGCUUAAAUAUGCUCCAUUGCCAAUACAUAGAGAUAAGAUUUGCCAUUUUUGGUCUGUUCCACUGCAACUUCAGGGAGAUAAGACCUGUCACUUCAACUUGCUCCACUGCAACUUCAGGGAGAUAAGGUUUGUAAUCUUCGAUCUAUUUCACUGCAACUUCAGGGAUAUAAGAUCUGAAUUUGCCGAUGUUACUACAUCAUCCUCCUAGACAUGUCCUGUAAACUCGGUUUCAUGUAUCAUGCUUAUGCCAAAUAAUUAGGAAGUUAUGAUCAAAAUGAAUCAAAUACUCCUAACUAGAUGUGAUGCUUAUGACAAAUAAUUAGGAUGCUAUGAUCAAAUGCUCCUAACUAGAUGUGAUGCUGAUGUUAAAUAAUUAGGACGCUAUGAUUGAAAUGAAUCAAAUGCUCCUAACUAGAUGUGAUAUGGAUGAUAUAUGAAUGUAAAAAUGAAAAUGAUCUUUUUUAAAUGAUCUUUUUUUUUUAAAAUGCUUAAGGUAUCAUUGCCCGUUGUUCACCAGAGCACUAUCAUUGAUUUAUUAUGCUGUCAUCUUGUUCGGCUGGUAUUUUUGACAGAAGGCCCAAAGAAAUAAUCAAAUUCUGCUCAGCAAGCUUGCCCCGCUGUAAUUUUAAAGUCCCUUACACUGUAACUUUUGGGACAUAAAGUUUGAACUUCCCAUUGCAACUUCAGGGGAAUAAUCAUUUGAUUUCUUCUAUCCAUUCUGUGGCAACUCGGAGGUAUCGGAUUUGCAUCAUCUUCAAUUAAUUUGAUAUGUUAUACUAUCCCCUGGGUAUAUUAAACAGAUGUAUAUGCCUGAUAUCUGCAUGAAUAUAGAAUACCAUCUUCUUUUUUCGAGAACAAUCCCAUUGUUCAUUCUCUGUCGGGAUUAUAACACUAAUUAAUAUCUUUGACAGAAAAUCCAAGGAGAUAAUCUCAAUUUGGGCUUAAAUAUUUCCAACCCUUAAGCUUGGUGAGUUUUAAACAAUAUUCCUAUUUCAGGCUCCUGUAUCAUUUAGAAACUUCCCAAAGUAAUAUGCGAAACUUCCUUUAUGAAAGUAUUAUUAGUCUAAAAAAUCAUUAUUUCAAUGCAAAAUGCUUCAAAAAGAUCAUAGCCAUGGACAAGAAAUGAAUUAAUUGAGAACAUAGCUCGUAACGAACAAGCAAAUGCAACUAAGAAAGAAAUUUAUCGGAACGUGACUUAAAAAGAAUAAGGUAAUCAAAGAUUAACAAAAAAUGGGUAAAAAUGGAAAGCUAGAUGCCCCAGAUAUCGCAGCUUGAGCUUCUCUGUACCAACUUCUUGAGGACCAUUCUGAGCUUAAUCUGUGUUUAAGGGAUUCGGAGUACUUUGUCGAUACCCCAAGACGUAACAUACUUCUUUCAUUGUUAAUUCAGACAUAGCAAGACUACUUAUGCCCUAUUUUGAUCCAAAUUUGAGUCGCCCUUUUCGGGUUUUCAACUCAAAUCCCCUUUGGUCUCAAAGUGCCCUUUGCGGGUUUUCACCUUGGCAUUUCCAUUUUUUUUCUUCUUUUUAUUUAUUUAUUUUAUUUUUUUAAUUUUUAAUUUUAUUUUUUUGUUUUGAUUUUGAUUUUUUUUAUUUCGAUUUUUUUAAGGUCUCAAGGUGCCCUUUGCGGGUUUUCAGCUUGGCAUCUCCCAUUUUAGGUAGAAUACUCUUUGACUGCAUUUUGAACUCCAAACUAGGCAAAUCCUUUCGGUCAAUAUCAAUGCUCCUCUAGAAUAGGCCUUCUUUACUGCAUAAGGUCCCUCUUAGUUUGGCAUAUUUCUUCCUUUGAAGCCCUUUUGUAUAAGAAGGAUCUUCUUCAAUAUCAAGUUCCCCUCAUGGAAUUUUCUCAUAUCUAUAACACCCCUAACCCGUAUCCGCUGCCAGAACAGGGUUUCGGAGCAUUACUACCAUUUGCAGAUCGCUUAAAAAAAAUUAAAAUACUUACCGAUUCAAUGUAUCAUAUAAAAUAAAUAUAUUACCAUUCAAUCAACAGUUUGGCACUUGUAUAAGCAUCAAACAACAACAUUGUUAGUAUACUUGCACAUAUCUCAUAUAAAUUCAACAUUGAUAUAUCAAUUACAUAAUUUCCUUGUAUCAACAUAUAAAAGAUAAUCAUAUAUGUACAUGUCAUGAAACAUAUCAUGCUCUUACCGUUUCUUCACAAGCAUAUAACAUUCAUUUCAUUAUAUCAAUAUUUUAUGCUUCAUCAUUUCUAUAUAUUUUAUGUAUAUUUAUUCUGGUAAUAGCUUAUAUCAAACUUAACAUAAAUUAUAUUCCAUGUACUUAUACUUAUUUCGUUUAUCCAUUUUCAUAAUUAUUUCAUACAACGGUUUUGUACAUAUAUUUCCAUAUGACAAGUUCUUGUAAACAUUUCACACAACCAUUUCAUAUAACCAUUCGUCAUCUGAUACAUUUUACCUGAAUAUCAAUUGUUCAACAGAUGUUAUAGCGUCUCUCAUCCACUGUCUUAUUUAUCUUUGACGUGAUGGCAUAGUGUCUUUCAACUAUGGUCUUACUCAUUUUCUAUCAUGUUGCCAUGGUAUCUUUCAACCAUGGUCUUAUUCUUUUCAUGUCACGUUGCCAUGGUAUCUUUCAACCAUGGUCUUACACAUUUCAUAUCAGGUUGCCAUGGUAUCUUUCAACCAUGGCCUUACACACAGGUUGCCAUGGUAUCUUUCAACCAUGGUCUUACACAUUUCAUAUCAGAGAGCACACUCCCGCGAACCUCAUCCUUACAGUGGGAUUACCAGUCCAGGCUAAAUCCCCUGUAAUAUAAACUCAUAGAGUAUUGUCGGGAUUACCAGUCAGGCUAAAUCCCCUGCAACGACAAUUACUCUAAUGAGCUUGGAUCUGAAUUACCAAUCCAGGCUAAAUUCAGACCCUAAUUCGAAUUACCUGUCCGGGCUAAAUCCGUUUUACACAUAUUCUUUGGGAGGGCUAUAUCAGGAUAGGAUCACCCGUCCGGGCUAGAUCCUUUUUACCGUCAAUUCCUUUUCAGAGAUCCAUCGAAUUUUCCUUUCAUUCAACCGAGAUUUCUUCUCCUUUUAUCAAAUUUAUCAAUGUUUCAUAAAUUUUCAUACAAUGAACAUUCAAAUCAUAUUCACAUAAAUAACAUACAAUCUCAAGCAUUUAAGAAUAUAAUUCAAGUUACACGAACUUACCUCAUUGCUUGUUUGUGUUUAUAAUUUCAUUAAUCUGAUAUCUUUUCUUUUCCACGAUCAAGUUUCAUAUUUGAGUCGUCCGGAUCUUUAUAAAUAAAUUUGAUCAUCAUUUUCAUUCAUUUCAUAUUCUUAUGCAUUUAAUUAAUGCUCUAGGCAAAAUUACCAUUUUGCCCCUAAACUUUUAAUUAAUGACGAUUUCAUCCUUAGGGUCAGGAAAAUAAAAUUCUUGCAAUUUAAUCCUUAUUUCCAGCUAUUAUUCUCAUAUAUAUUGAUAAAAAUCCAUGAAUUCUAUAAAAUAUCAGAAUUUUUCAUAAUUUUAACACUUUUCAAUUUAAUCCCUAAAACAUGUUUUCCCCGAUAUUGAACUAAAUUAAUAAUUUCAUUCAAUUUUGUAAUUUAAAUAAUAAAAUAAUCCAUUUCAUGCAAUUUGGUCAUUUUUGACAUGUUUACAAAAUUUCCCAUAAAGUUUUACUUUUAUUCAAUUUAGUCCUUGAGCCUAAAAUAUGCAAAUUAGCCAUGCUAGAUGAAUAUUCAUACAUAUUUUUCCUCCUCCUCCUCUCCAUUCCACAUCCUUAAUGUAGAUAACACACUUGUAAGUAACAUUAUCCAUAAUUUUUAUUAUUUACUUUUAUGAAUAUUCAAGCUGUCUAUCUGCAUCAUAGUCACUAAAUUAUUUAUAUAUGGAUAUAUAGAACUACAAAUUAAUAUCCAAUAAUUUUCCCUGAAUCUAGACUCAUAUAUAUUCUUCCCAUAAAAAUUUCAGAAUUUUUGGUUCAGCCAAUAAGUAUAGUUUAUUCUUUAAAGUUACCCCUGUUCUGCUGUCUGACAGUUCUGACCCCUCUUCACCAAAAAUUAAUUAUCUCCUCAUACAGGAUUCAAAUGAUGUUAUUGUUUGUUUCUAUUAAAAAUAGACUCAUUAAGGAUUUUAUAAAUAUAAAUUUAAGCCCCUAAUUAUUUUUAUUCAAUGUUUUAUGAUUUUUUAAAGUCAGAACAGGGGAACCCGAAUUCAUUCUGACCUUUUCUCACAAAAUUCAUUAUAUCUCCAAAUUUACAAAUCCAUUGCUUACACUAUUUCUUCUAUGAGAAACUAUACUCAAUAAGAUUUAAUUCCAUAUUUUUUUCAUAUUCUAAUUCGAUUUCUAAAAUUUAUGGUGAUUUUUCAAAUUUAGUCUACUACUGCUGUCCAAACUGUUUUUGUGCAAGCUAUUAAUUACCAUGUUAUAACACCCUUAUUUUCUUUUUCUACACCAUUUCUUAUCACUUUCUCUUAUUUUCUCUUCACUAACAUAUCAAAAACAUAGGACCUUAUGUAAGAAAACUUAAAAACAUAUUGAAAUCUUGAUAUACUUACCUUGUUCUAUUGAUACUAAUCUUUAACUUGAUUUUCUCUCUCCUCCAGCUUCUAUUUCUUCAAUCGAACUUGAUAUUCUAACUCCCCAUGCUCUCCUUAACAUUUUUGUCUCUUGGUAGCUAUGGAAAUUCAUUUGAUUUUUGGGUGAAAAUGGUAAAUUUUUGGUAAAAGGACCAAAUUGUAAAGAAAGCAAAACUUUCUUUCUUCCUUUCUUUCUCUCACGUUAGUGCAUGGGAAAAUAUGGAUGAGAAUUUCUCAUCUUUCUUUCUUUAUAUACUAAUAAAAUAAUAAUAAAAUAUCUUUUUAAAGUAUUAAUAAAAUAAUAUUUAUCUAAUUAAAUAAUUAUAAAAUAUCAAAAUAUCUCUAGCAUCAUUAUUACUUUCUAGAUUUCUCUCUCUUCCGAUUGACCAUUUUGCCCUUCAUUAUCUUUUAAAAUUCCAUCCUUGAUCAUCAUUUAAUUUGGUAAAAUUACAAUUUAGUCCCUCAUAGUUCUUCAUCUAUUCAAUUUGGUCCUAAUUCAUCCAUUUUCCUUAGUUUCUAGAUCAUUCCACUCUUAAAUUAUUUACACUAUUGGUCCUUCAACUUUUUCAUAUUUACACUUUAACCCCUCAAAUUAUGAAUAUUACUCUUGUGCAACAAAACUUUUCUCACUUUUACAAUUUAGUCCUUUCUUGAAAUAAUAUAUCAUAAUAUACUUCUCAAUAUUGAAAUAACUCAAAAUUUCCCUUUUUGUCACUUUAUUUCCUUAUUUUACUAUAUCAAGGAUAAUAUCUUACUGUAAAAAUUUUCAGGGUAUUACAAUAUCAUUCAUUUCUAGUGCAUUGAACCACGAUAAAAUCUCCUCUCUUUGAAUUCAAUUGAUCAUAUCAAGCUUAGAUCCAUUCUGCCCUAUUCAAUUCAACUCUGACAAGACUCGGAGACAAAGAAUCUCGUCUUCAAAACUGUUUCUAUCACAUAAACCAAUGAGCAAUGUGUUGCCUCAGCGAAGGUCUUAGCCAACGUUCGAUAAGUACAGAGGGUAAAUGAUAACUUCUUUAUGUCAAUCCUUACAAGGUUCGGUCAUCUUUCACUAUGACUUUUUUUUAUUGUUUUACUACUUUCCCUUUUCUUUUUUUCUUUUUUUGAACUUUUGUUUUUCUUUUUGGAUGCCUUUACUGCACGGUAAUAUGGUAUCUGAUCUUUGAACAGACUGCAAACUUUUGACAUUGUGUAGUUGUAUUAGAAAUGAUCCUUUCUGACAUUACUUGUCAGCAACCCUCUUUUUUUUUUAGAUUUGAUGACUAUCGAUCUUGCAAUAUUGGCAUAUGAAGCGACCUUCACCCUCUUCAUGAAGCAAUCAAUGACUACCAAGAUGAAUCAAUGUAUAUUAGACGAGAAUGGCUUGAUAACAUCCAUGCCCCACAUAGAGAAAAUCUGUGAAGAAAUGAAUGAGGCACAUGAAUCUUGUCUCCCUAAAUACAGCCUAACUAAUGCAAUCCCCUUCCAUGGUGGAUCAAUAGUACCCAACCUCAUGAUUAGCGUGGCUACCAUGAAACCAUUAACAUGUCCUUGUGACACCUGUGUAGACAUUUUUAACGUCCACAGGUCUUAGUAUCCCAAGUAUAUCUGCCAGGAAUAUGCGAUAACAUCUUUGAAUUCUUGGAAUAACUCAAUGACGAUUUGCUUUGUCUUUGUAAUGACUCAGGCUUCGAUCCCUGCCCCUUGCUCACAAUGUUUACUGACCCUUCGUGAAGUACGAUCCAUUUUCAUCUUGUUCUACCGUCCUUAAAAAAUAAGGAAAUAAGUCACAAUCUUUGUCAUCUUCAAUGUUCUGAGAUCCAUUUAAACACAUAUCUCACCUCAAAAGGGAGUCAGUUACAGCGUUGCUCAUGUCGUUUAUAUCUGGGGACCUAUUGUAGGUACAAAGGCAAAUUCCAAAGAAUAAAUGAUUCUAAGGAUAAUUAUUUGUAUGGUAUGAUCAUGAAUGAAGAAUGAAAGUAUAUUUAAAAAAUAGUCCAAAGAACAAAAGAAUAUAUAAAGAAUGAAAGAAAAAAAAUGUAUUUUAUUGAAAUAAAAAAUUUUGGACACAAGCCUAUUUCACAAAGGGGUUCUUAUUGCCCCUAGGCUUAAAAGUAACAAGCGCGUUUUGAACAUUACUCUAGAUUAGCUCUAAAAAUACAGGGAUCUCUUCCACAGUCCCAUUACUUAAAAUACCCCAAGUACAUAAGGGUUUGGAAACUUUUAUUCCCUAGAGCUCUCUUUGGAUAUGUCAUUCAAAUUCUCUUUGAUAACUAGUGGUUACAAACCUUGGCUCGCCUAUGUUGACCAAUUUGGAAGGUAUGCUCAUUAUGUUCACUUCAUUUUCCUCAUUUCUAGGGGUUGACCUUUUGACGCUUUCUCUCAUAUCUAUCUUCCCAUUUCUUAUCGUAUCUUCAAUCAUUUCAUCGGACUUCACUAUAUCUGAAAAACUCAAAGUAGCACUUCCCAACAUAUGAUUAAUGAACGGAACUUUUAGAGUAUUAAUGAAAAGUAUCGUGGUCUCCUUUUCCAGAAGAGGCAGUUGGACUUGUGUUGCUACCCCUCUCCAUCUUUGGGCAUAUUUCCUGAAACUCUCAUUUUGCUUCUUUUCCAUAUUUUGCAGGGUAAUUAUGUCGGUGCCAUGUCUGUUACAUGGCUAUACUGCUUCAUAAAAGCUUGUGCUAAGUCUUUCCAUGAAUUUGUUUUAGCACAACUCAACUAAUUGUACCAUUUAGCUGCUAACCUGAUCAGACUAUUUUGGAAGCAAUGAAUUAAUAGUUGGUCAUUAUUAACAUAUCAUGUCAUCCUUCGACAGAACAUUGUGAUGUGAGCUUCAGGACAACUAGUCCCAUUGUACUUUUCAAACUCUAGAGUUUUAAAUUUCAGUGGGAGUACUAGAUCGGGGACCAAACUCAGAUCCUUGGCGUCAAUCCCACAAUAGAAGUCUACACUCUCCAUUGCCUACAAUUUUUCCUCCAACCACCUAUAUCGAUCCUCAAGUUGUUUUGGCAAUUCCCUAUUUGCUUUUUCCUUUUCAUCCAGAUUAGGAACUUCAAGAUUGGUUGGGUUGUCCCCCGGAUUGGAGCCUGAGCCUAUCGAGUAAUCCACUGGUGCAGAAGCACUGACUUGAUAUUGAGUUUCAAUAAUAGGUACAUCUUGCGGACAUGUUUGAGCAUUUGUCGGGGUGAAACCCGGAGGGUAGAGAGACCCUUAUUGUCCUCCCUAGCAUUAAUCAUGGAGCUUUUCCCUUUUCCUAGCCCUUUAGUUAGCAAUUGGGACAACCAAUCCAUCAUAUUCCUUUGAGACUCUAGCACUUGGUCUCUCAUAUCUUACCGGAUCUUAGCUAGCUGCUCUUGCAUCUGUAUUUGUAACUGGUCUUGCAUCUCUUUUUGAAGUUGUUCAAGUCUUUCCAAUCUUUGGUCCAUAUCUUUUGUCUUAGCAUGGGUACCGUAACGACGCUUGGUUAGUAAGUUUUUAUUGGUUCCCAGAUUAACUAAAAUAAUUUCAACUAAUUAGGGACCCUUUUAUGAAAAUCUAAUGCAAAUGAUGCAAUGAUGCAAUGCAAUACAAAUGCAUAGGAUGAAUGCAAAAGAAAGAAAGGCAUUGAUUUUAAAUUCAAUUCAAUUAGAACAACUUUUCUAGAAAACAAAUUCCUUUACAUAAAACGGAUUACAUAUACGGCCUUACUUUCAUAUUCCAGGCGAAAACAUCGAUCCCUUUUCUUCAUGAAAGUCAAAUCUCGCAAGUUUCCAAUAAAUGCCUCAACUAGCUCCUUUUUGCUUGAUCCAGGCUGCGACUUAUUAUCCUCGCUAUGUUGAUUAGCUUCUUUAAGGUAGUCGGGACAUGAUAGCUCUCGAACAAUCUUUAUUGGCUAGAAUCCUCGGGCAAUAAAACAAGGUCUUGUUUUCCUUCACAAACUAUUAGCCUUCUUCCGUUGUAUGUACUUGGACCAUAUUCAGACAACCGUAUUAUAAUCCACUUUAUCAAGAACUUCAUUUUCUUAUGACAAACUGUUCUAUUUAGCAAUCAAAUAUGAAUAAACCCCUCAUUUCUAUGAUUAUGUAAUGCAAUGCAAUUAUAAAAAAAAAAAACAAAAACAAAACAUGUUAGUACAGAAGAAAUAAAUAACAAAUAAAGUACCUACUCGGGUGAUCACUAAAUUUGGGUAAGGUUCUACUUAGGGUGGACUCUUAGGGUUCACUACAUGUAGCUCGGCCCUAGAGAAAAGGUACUCGAGCCAGCAAAUUUCUCAAUCCUCACCCAUUAUAGGCUCAUAUGGAUCGAGUUCGGUUCAGGAGAAUACAUUUCCCUAUGACCAUGCGGAGAUAAAAAUCUCACAAAAUCAUAGGUACAGAUGUCUCCCCGAAACAAUCGACUAGCCCAUGCGGAGGUGAAAACCUCACGAAGACAUAGCCUUUUACUCCCACUUAAAAGGUGUGACUGCAAUGGUCAUGCAAUGUAAUGCAAUAUUAUUCUACAAGACUUGGACUACAACGGUCAUGCAAACACAUGCAACAAAGAAUCAUGAUUUUCAAAUUAAAUUUUCAACUUUAGACAAAAGGACAAAAAAUAAUCAAUUUUAUGGCUUGACUUUCUUGUUCAGUCCCCUGUGGAGUCGCCAAGCUGUCGAAACCAUUUUUUUUAUUUGAAAAAAAAGGGGAUCGACUAAAACCAAAUGUAGAGUCGCCACCAAUCUUUUUGUUUAGGUGUGAUUGGAUCACCUAAUGAAACAUUUUAAAACAAUUUUGGUCCAUGUAAAUUUAAAAAUGGGUUCGGGAGCCGGUUACGUAUGAGGAAGGGUCAGCACCCUCACUAUGCCCAAAAACUGGUACCAGAUUGAUUAAGUGCUGUCCUUAUGUCUAGGGUUUUUUCAAAAAAAAAAUUUAAUAUGAUUCCUCUUAAAACAUUUGAGUGGUUUAAGCUGGUCGUCAAAACUUUCUCAUUUCAAAGGUAUAAAGCAUCACAUCCAGCACAAUAGGACACGAUCUUUUAUACUUUUGAGAACACGAUUGAGUUUUGAUUUCCAAAAGCUCUUUGGUCAAAAAUUAUAAAAGGAUGUCCAAAUAUUUAGUCCUACGAAAAAUCAAAACCUAGCACAGUAGGGCACGAUUUCUCGAGUUUCUAAAUACUGAACAUUGCCUUAUUUUAGGAUUUUUUUUAAAAAGAGUUGUAAACUCAAAAAUAUUAAUUUUACUUGAAAUAAAAGGGAAUAAUUGAUUUUAAGGAGUUGGAAAUUAUGUAGCGAUAAUUGUAAACCAAAAGGAAGAAAAAAAAACCCUGGGAUAAUAUGCAUGCAUAAAAUACAAUAAUUAGUGAAUGAAGAUAACAUAACUUCAUUUGACCAACUUUCAAAACAAACAAUUAAAUAUAAUUAAUCCAAAAUAUAACCAAAUUCACAAGCAUGGAUGCACAACAAUUAAUAUAGUAAUACAUAAAAACGAAUAAAUGUGGUAUAACAAAUGUACAUGAAAUAAAAAUAAUUAACACAUGAAAUACCAAGCAACAUAAAACUAAUAUGAUACAAAACCAAUUUCUAAAAAUAAUAGAUGAGCAAAUAGCAUAUGCUAGAACGUAAAAUAAUUUAUAUGGAUAAAAAUACUACAUAAAUAAUUAUUAAAAUAAAUGUUAUAAAAAAAUUGAAUCAAACAACAUGCAAAAUUUAAAGUUGACAAUAUACAUACAAUAAAAAAAUAACUUAAAUAAUACAUAAAAUAUGAAAAGGAUAGCAAAAAUACAUAGUAAAAUAUAAUCUUAGGUAUAUACAUAAUAGAUCUUAAAAACAUAUAUAUAUAUAUGUGCAUAAAUAGAUUUAGCGGCAAUUAUAUAUAAAAAUGACAUGGAAUUAAUAAUGUAUAUGGGAGCAAAUUAAUUUUAUCAUGUAUUGUAUAUGUAAUAGAUUUAAAAACGUGAAUAUGUAUAUCAAUAGAUUUAGAAGAAAAUUAUAUGUAUAAGAUAACAUAUAUUUAAUAAUGUAUAUAGAAUAAAGUUAAUUUUAUCAUGCACAAUUUAUAUAUAUAUAAUAAUAAAUAAAAACAUUUAUACAAAAUAUUAUACAGAAUAUUGGAAUAAUAUAAUAUAAACAAACUUUACAAUAAUGAUUUAAAAAAAACAAAAUAAAAUUAUCAAAGUCGCUAAAAGUAUAAAAAAAAUAAUCAACAAUUAAAAAUUAAUGCUAAGUGGAUUUUUAAAAUAAUAAAGAAUUAUACAAAAUAAUAAUAAAAACUCAAUUAAAAUAAAGUUAAAAUGAACGGGAUAAUUAAUAAAUUAAGCCAUUAAAAUUGCAAAAGACUAAAGCGCAAUACGCACGAAUGUAUAGGGAUUAAAACCGAAAAUAUUCCAGAUUUCAAAGCACAGCACUUAGGUGCGGGCUAAACUGAAAUGCCACGCAAAUUCUAAGAAAAAAAUUAAAACAAAUAAAAUGUGAAUAAGGACUAAUUAAAAAGUCAGCACGAAGGCAAAGGACUAUCCACGAAAUUAACCAUUUGAAGCGCCAAAGCGCCGAUCCUGCCUAUGGAUCGGGUUUGCGUGCACGGAUCUCCCCCCACUUACACUGCACCGUUUUGAAUUCUGCACAAAAUCAAACCUAAAAAAAGAAAACCUAAAAUCAAGCAUUUGACCACUUUAUCAAAAUCAAAAUAAAGAAAAAAAAACCUAACACUUCUCCUAUCCAUUCGACUAAACCAAAAUCCCUCAUUCGAACGCCCUUACGUUUCUCUUCUCGACGGAAGGUGUCAUAUAAUGGCCAAUCAAGGUCUUAUUCAACCAUAGGUCCGCGAGUUUCGCUCACCAGCCUUAGAAUCGUUACCUAGCUUCGAUUGUGAUGAAUCAAGUGAGGAAUCGAAGGAGCCAACUCUCUGGUAAGUCCCUUUCUCUUUACUUAUUUUUGUUUUUAUACGCAGUAACAAGGAUUUGUGAAAUAGGAGCAGAAUCGAAAAGGAAAAAUAAUCUAAAUCACCUUAGUUUUUGAUUGCUUUUUCUUAAUAUCUAGUAUUUCGUAAAAAAAAAAAAUUAGUGUUUACAGUGGCUUUUUAUAGCCAAAAUACAUCAAGAAUAUUCAAGAAAAAGAAAUAAAAAAUCUUUAUUUUUUUGCUGUAUUGUUGUUAUCUGCCGUUAUUUAUGUGCUGGCAAUCUGUUUUGCAAGUAUGCAUGGUGUGGAGAAGCCGUUCGUGGUGACGUGUCGAGGCUCGGGACUCAGUGGCGCUGGAGACCCUCGCUAAGGAGGCUGCAAUUUUGGUCCUAGGGUUUCAGUCCUUGAAACCGGAAUUUGGGCCACCUAGGUCGAGUUUCAAUUGGGUUAAAUUUUUGGGCUGUGAUAGUUUUCUUGUAAAUAGGCUAUGUAAUUAAGUUUAUUGGGUCUGUUGGGCCAUAAGAGUAAUUUGUAAAUGGACUGGACACUUAUUAUUGGAUUUUAUUUUGUUAUUUUGUUUUUUUUCAUUCUGGUUUUGGCAUGGGCCCAGGCGAAAUGGGCCUAUUAUAGUGUAUUCUAGGUUUCUCUUUGAUGUGUGUCCGCCAUUCAUCUAAUUCAUUGAUUUGUAAUCUUCUUUCUUCAUGAUUUGUUCUGUUUUUGUCAUGUAAAUUGGACUACGACUCUGUCAUGUUUUUCUGAGGUGUUUCCUGCAAAGAAUGUUGAGCCACAAGGUUAUUUACAUUAACAGAACUCGUAAUACCAUUUCGAUCAGUAGAUAUCCUGACAGAAUCACGAGCUUGGAGUUUAAUCAUGUCAUCACCUAUACGAGUACCAACAUCUAUGAUAGUUUUAGCAGUUGCUAAAAAGGGCCGUCCUAAAAUCAAUGGUACGUCACUAUCCUCAUCCAUGUCUAGAAUAACAAAAUCAACUGGUAAAAUAAAUUUAUCAAUUUUGACGAGUACGUCUUUAACAAUACCCGUAGGAAAUCUAAUUGUUCUAUUUACCAAUUGAAUGCUCAUCCUAG